UUCCGGUACAUUAACUAUGUUACGACUUACCUCCUCUUUAGAGGAGGGUGACGGGCGAUAUGUGCACCUAAAUUAGAAUUUGUUUUAAAAUUUUAUUUAAAAACUACUUCCAAAUCCUGACACAAAUUUUCUUUAGAAAAUUUUAUUUAAUAAUAUUAAUAAGUAACUCAUCUUAUCUUAUUUAUUUUCUUCACCUUGACCUGACUUUUUAAAAAAUUUCAAGAAAAAAUUUNUAAAUUUUUUCUUGAGACGGCGGUAUAAAAGAAAAAGAAAAAAG
rnacentral:rRNA from 1 species